CCGGCACUCACCCGGUGGUGAAAUCUUGCUGGGGCCUCCAAAUGUAACCGAGUGAGUUACCGAGAAACGCCACACUCUGAGACGAAUUCAGGAGUCCUUUAUUAG
rnacentral:pre_miRNA from 8 species